AACGAACGCUGGCGGCGCGCUUAACACAUGCAAGUCGAACGAGAAUCCGGGGCAACCCGGUAGUAAAGUGGCAAACGGGUGAGGAAUACAUGGGUAACCUACCCUUGAGAAGGGAAUAACCCGCCGAAAGGUGAGCUAAUACCCUAUACGCUAUCUUUUUUUCGAAAAGGAUAGGAAAGCCGGGUCGAGGACCUGGUACUCAAGGAGGGGCUCAUGUCCUAUCAGCUUGUUGGUGGGGUAACGGCCUACCAAGGCUACGACGGGUAGCUGGUCUGAGAGGAUGAUCAGCCACACUGGCACUGAGAUACGGGCCAGACUCCUACGGGAGGCAGCAGUGAGGAAUAUUGCGCAAUGGGCGAAAGCCUGACGCAGCGACGCCGCGUGGGGGAUGAAGGUUUUCGGAUUGUAACCCCUUUCAUGAGGAAAGAUAAAGUGGGUAACCACUUAGACGGUACCUCAAGAAGAAGCCACGGCUAACUUCGUG
rnacentral:rRNA from 1 species